GACGAACGCUGGCGGCGUGCUUAACACAUGCAAGUCGAGCGGUAAGGCCCUUUCGGGGUACGACGAGCGGCGAACGGGUAGGAGUAACAACGUGGGUGGACCUCGCCCUCCAGCUCUGGGAGUAAGACCCGGGAAACCGUAGGGUCGUAAUAACUGGAGUAUGACUCCAUGACGCAUGUUGUGGGGUGGGAAAGACCUUGUGCGGC
rnacentral:rRNA from 1 species